GCAUGCAAGUUGAGCGAGGCUUUUUGGUAGUUUACUACUAGAAAUGACUGAGCGGCGAACGGGUGAGUAACGCGUGAGCAAUCUACCCUAGUUACUGGGAUAGCCCGAGGAAACUCGGAUUAAUACCGGAUAUUCUUAUUUUUUCACAUGAAGUUUUAAGGAAAGGUCAGCCGAACUAAGAUGAGCUCGCGUUCUAUCAGCUAGUUGGUGGGGUAAAAGCCUACCAAGGCUACGACGGAUAGCUGGUCUGAGAGGACGAUCAGCCACACUGGGACUGAGACACGGCCCAGACUCCUACGGGAGGCUGCAGCAGGGAAUAUUGUGCAAUGAGCGAAAGCUUGACACAGCGACACCGCGUGUGGGAUGACGGUUCUAGGAUUGUAAACCACUUUCAGGAGGGAAGAAAAUGACGGUACCUCCACAAGAAGACCCGGCCAACUAUGUGCCAGCAGCCGCGGUAAUACAUAGGGGUCAAGCGUUGUCCGGAUUUAUUGGGCGUAAAGAGCUCGUAGGCGGUUCAACAAGUCGGUCGUAAAAGUUUAGGGCUCAACCCUAAAAUGUCGAUCGAUACUGUUGUGACUAGGAUACGGUAGAGGUGAAUGGAAUUCCGAGUGUAGCGGUGAAAUGCGUAGAUAUUCGGAGGAACACCAAUUGCGAAGGCAGUUCACUGGACCGUGAUCGACGCUGAGGAGCGAAAGCUAGGGGAGCAAACAGGAUUAGAUACCCUGGUAGUCCUAGCUGUAAACGAUGGAUACUAGAUGUAGGAACUGGAUUGACGGUUUCUGUAUCGUAGCUAACGCGUUAAGUAUCCCG
rnacentral:rRNA from 1 species